UGGCCCUGGGGGAGACAGGAGGGGAGUCAGUGCCAGCCCAGCUGAGUGCCCAACCCCAGAUAUUCCCUCAUGCUGCCCUAGACUGCCACCAGCAGUUGUGACAUAAGGAGACAUGGAAUUUCGGGUUACUUAUUACCCUGAGAAAGCUGAGGCAAAGGUGACCUUCAGCUGGAGCUGCUUCAGCUCAGGCCCUCCUGACAGUGCUCUGAGACCGUCCCUGCUGUCCCUCUGUGCCAAGAAGGAAAGUUGGGUGUCUUUCCUGGCCUGGGUGGUGCCAGGACCCUGCCCAGUGUCAUCCCUGUGCCCCCCUGGCUGUGGGGACACCAGGACAGGGACUGAGCUGUGGGGCCACAAGAACCGGGGCUGGGAUGGACAGGAAGGGGUUUGUCUCCAGCUCAUGUAUUUACACUGUCAAACUGUCCCUCUUCCUCACAGAGCAGCCUCAAUGUGGAUCUUGUUAAACUAACAACAUCAAGGUUUUUCUACCCAAAAUGUCCUAGAAAUCUGAAGCCCAAACAAAUUCCUUCCCUCCGGCAGCCUCCGUUACUUGUGGGCUGGUUUGUUAUUGCAGAGCUGCCUGACUCUGCCAGCAGAAGUGAUAUUUCAGUGAUUACAGAGUACUGAAGUGAUCUCAGGGUGGAUUUUUAGAAGAAAGGGGCAAAUGAUGUGUUUUGUGACCACAGCAAUGCCUGGCCCUUCUCAGGGAGAUGCAGCCCCAGCCCUUGCAGGGAGCUCCUUCGGGGCAUUCAGUGACCUCACCUUUGGUUUUCUUUAACACUGACCUCCCCAGGAACUACUUCGUACCAAGGGCUUUGGCAAUGCAACAUUUAACUUCUAGAGGACCCUAAACUGCAGAGGAGACAUUAGUUAUCAGAUGUUGGAGGGCUUGAUUCAACAACCUACAAAAAUUAACUCUUGGUGAGGUAUGGUACAACCUGGAGGAAACUACAAACAAACUCUAAGGAGCUCUUGCUGGGAGGAAAGCAGCCCUUCCCAAUGAUCCUACAACAUCUUGCCACUCCAGAAGUUCACUGGAGAACCAGUGCCUGGACACGGAUAACUCCUGGGAUGGUGUUUAAUGUUUACUGACAAAGGUUAUGGACAUGGACUGGUGGCUCAGGGGACCAUGGCCAGAGAGGAGAGCGUCUGAGGAGGCUCAGGGUUGUUUGCUCUCACCAUGUGUGGGCAGUUCCAGGCAUUUAAUGCUGGUGGAGCAUCUUGAGUUAAUCUUCAGACCAACAAACUGCAGCAGCCCGAGCAGAGACACCCCUGCUGUGACUGUCGUGUCACACAUGGCACAAAUCAUUUCGGUUUUGCUGCCUGCAACUUGCAAGUGGCUUUAGCACAGGAGCCUUUCAGUUUGGGUGCUCUGUCCCUGCAAACUGAGAUCCUGAACUUGGUUUUAGCAAGCUCAGCAGGAAAAAGUGGCCACCAUGGGAAAGGGGAACAUUAUAAGAAGCUGAAUGUGAUCUGUGGAAAACGACUGCAUAAUACAUGAUAGCUUUAGGUUGGGCACUUAA